ensembl:lncRNA
AUCGUAGGGCAGCAGCGUUUCUUUUCCCCCCGUGGUCCGUCUCUCUCGCUCAGCCGCAGGAUCAGGAGCUUUCGCUCUCUCUCUCUUCCAAAGUACGCCACGUUUCUGCUGCCACGGGUGAAAAGGUCUUUAUGGCGGGUCUGCUGUACAGGCUAGUGGUGAGGACUUAUUUAUUAGAGCUGUAGCAGGUGUGGGAGGGGAUCAGUACAGAUCAUUUAGAGGGAGACAUUGGAACCAGGAUUCGGCCCCAAAUCUGCGGUAAAAAUGCACCAAAUCCAAAGCACUGUGUUGGCACCGGCGCCAUUUUUAGUGACAGCCUUAUUUUCUGGCGAAACAUUGAAAGUUGAAGGGCAAUAAGUCCAAUGUGACACGGAUCGAUUUGGAUCGGGACAGAGCUUAUCCCCACAAUUAAUGAUCGAGUGUGGCGGCAUGGGAACCCUUUGUGGGCCAAAAAGAAAAACCAAUAAUGAAAUUAAAUGCAAAAUCUCAAAAUCAACAAGGCAAUAACAUUUUUCUUGUAGAUGUUUAUAUCUCUGACUGGAAGUGCACUGAUCCACAUGGUAGAUGUGCAUGUGUGUUCUCAGUUCACAUGUCAGAUUCUUAAUGCAAAGCCAGCUAGCUUUGGGCCUGAAUAGUUGCUUACAUUAACUAGUGUCUCAUCUCAUUCUCAGGCCUUGAGGCCAAACACCCGUUUCCGUGCUCUUGUCAAAUUUGAUUUAUGACACACGCUGAAUGUUGAUUGCACACAUAAUACAUAAGGAGAAUAAUCAAUGUGAUCCUAUUGUGAUGCGCCGGUGGGUGCUCAGAUCUAUUCUCUUCGUCACCGACCCAACUACAGCCAAACCUCGC